AGUGAACGCUGGCGGCAGGCCUAAUACAUGCAAGUCGAACGGCAGCACGGCAGAGCUUGCUCUGUGGGUGGCGAGUGGCGGACGGGUGAGGAAUACAUGGGAAUCUGCCCAGUCGUGGGGGAUAACGUAGGGAAACUUACGCUAAUACCGCAUGCGCCCUUCGGGGGAAAGCCGGGGACCUUCGGGCCUGGCGCGAUUGGAUGAGCCCAUGUCGGAUUAGCUAGUUGGCGGGGUAAUGGCCCACCAAGGCGACGAUCCGUAGCUGGUCUGAGAGGAUGAUCAGCCACACUGGAACUGAGACACGGUCCAGACUCCUACGGGAGGCAGCAGUAGGGAAUAUUGGACAAUGGGCGCAAGCCUGAUCCAGCCAUGCCGCGUGAGUGAAGAAGGCCCUCGGGUUGUAAAGCUCUUUUGUCCGGAAAGAAAAGCGCCGGGUUAAUACCCUGGUGUCCUGACGGUACCGGAAGAAUAAGCACCGGCUAACUUCGUGCCAGCACG
rnacentral:rRNA from 1 species